rnacentral:rRNA from 1 species
GACGAACGCUGGCGGCGUGCUUAACACAUGCAAGUCGAACGGAAAGGCCCUGCUUUUGUGGGGUGCUCGAGUGGCGAACGGGUGCGUAACACGUGAGUAACCUGCCCUUGACUUUGGGAUAACUUCAGGAAACUGGGGCUAAUACAGGAUAGGAGCUCCUGCUGCAUGGUGGGGGUUGGAAAGUUUCGGCGGUUGGGGAUGGACUCGCGGCUUAUCAGCUUGUUGGUGGGGUAGUGGCUUACCAAGGCAUUGACGGGUAGCCGGCCUGAGAGGGUGACCGGCCACAUUGGGACUGCGAUACGGCCCAGACUCCUACGGGAGGCAGCAGUGGGGAAUAUUGCACAAUGGGCGGAAGCCUGAUGCAGCAACGCCGCGUGCGGGAUGACGGCCUUCGGGGUGUAAACCGCUUUCGCCUGUGACGAAGCGGGAGUGACGGUAAUGGGUAAAGAAGCACCGGCUAACUACGUG